UUGCCUGUUUAUCAAAAACAUCUCCUCACUGGACAGGUGUGAGGUCUAGCCUGCCCACUGACGUUAAGUUUAAGGGCCGCGGUAUUCUAACCGUGCGAAGGUAGCAUAGUCAAUAGUCUUUUAAUUGGAGGCUUGAAUGAACGGUUGGACAUGGGGAAUUCUGUCUUAGUACAAAGAUGUGAACUUGACUAUUAUGUGAAAAGGCAUGAAUAUGUUGGGGGGACGAUAAGACCCUAUAAAACUUGAUGAUUGGCGUGGAUUACUUUCGAUAUGAGUUUUAGGUAGGUUAACACGAUGGUCAUUGUGCUGGGGCGGCAGGAAUAAAACACUAACUGUUCUUAACACAUAAUAAUUAUAAUUAUAGAUUG
rnacentral:rRNA from 1 species